GCCUCUCCUUUAAAGGCUUUGGUAUCGGCAGCUCCUGCUCCAUCAUCCUCCGCUGAGGCUGCUUCAUCCAAACCAGCUGAUGAAGGGAUUACGCUUAAAGAGACAUCUUCAGUCCCAGAAUCCUCAUCACAACCAAUGGAUGAGCCACCUUCUUCCCAGGGCGUCAACCCCCCAAAUAUCGAAGCAGAAGGUAAUUCAGUUUUUUGAUGCUUUACCUUUGCUUGUACUAUUGGUUUCUGAUUUGUUGCUUUUGAGUUUUGUAGAUGCUCCUAUGAGUCUGCCCGUUGUUGCAACAUCCUCUCGCUCAGACAAGGGGAAGUCUUCACGAAUGGUGGAGUCACAGGUGGCAGACUUGGCCGGGGAUAUGCCAUCUUCCACGAUUAUUGAUGAGGUAAUCUUUGCUUCACUUUUAUUUCCAUCUUGUUCGUUGUAGUGAGAAUCUUCAAUAUUGGCAAUUUUUUUUCCAGGAUGCUGACAAGAUUGUACGUUCCAUCCAAGACUUGUUCGCUUCCUGGGGGCAAGUCAAGACAUCUCGUCCUGCUCCGUUUGGUCGUCCUGCUGCUUUUUUAGAGGAAGAUUUGAAGUUCCUCAAGCAGUCGAUAUUUGAGUACGUGUCUUUCAUGGAUAUGGACAUUGGUAAGGCUAGUGCUGCCAGACACAAGGAUAAGCUUGAGCAUUUGAAUGCAAAGUUGGAGCAAGCACUGACACUUCCGUCGCUCAAUCUUUCUGCCGAUUUUAAAGCGACGUUGAAAGUUAUCCAUUCCGAGGUCCUCUCCUUGCUGGCCAAGAAUGCUGAACUAAAGGCCAAA
rnacentral:lncRNA from 1 species